AUAAAACUGGUGAAAUUAAGCUUGGACAUUCAGUCUCAGUCCUUUUGCAAGAUGAAAAGAAAAGAUACAGUCAAGUGACAACGAGGAAACCUGGAAGAGUAACACCAUCAAUGAAAACAGAUAAAAUUACUGCUAUUAUCACACGAAAUCAACACAUCAUAGAUUUUCCAUGCAACAGACUGCACAAGCACAUGCUCACAAACUAAAACACAUAAAUAAG
rnacentral:misc_RNA from 1 species